rnacentral:rRNA from 1 species
AGUGGACGCUGGCGGUAGGCCUAACACAUGCAAGUCGAACGGCAGCACAGUAAGAGCUUGCUCUUACGGGUGGCGAGUGGCGGACGGGUGAGGAAUACAUCGGAAUCUACUUUUUCGUGGGGGAUAACGUAGGGAAACUUACGCUAAUACCGCAUACGACCUACGGGUGAAAGCAGGGGAUCUUCGGACCUUGCGCGAUUGAAUGAGCCGAUGUCGGAUUAGCUAGUUGGCGGGGUAAAGGCCCACCAAGGCGACGAUCCGUAGCUGGUCUGAGAGGAUGAUCAGCCACACUGGAACUGAGACACGGUCCAGACUCCUACGGGAGGCAGCAGUGGGGAAUAUUGGACAAUGGGCGCAAGCCUGAUCCGGCCAUACCGCGUGGGUGAAGAAGGCCUUCGGGUUGUAAAGCCCUUUUGUUGGGAAAGAAAAGCAGCAGGUUAAUACCCCGCUGUUCUGACGGUACCCAAAGAAUAAGCACCGGCUAACUUCGUG